rnacentral:rRNA from 1 species
GGAUGAACGCUGGCGGCGUGCUUAACACAUGCAAGUCGAACGGAAAGGCCCAAGCUUGCUUGGGUACUCGAGUGGCGAACGGGUGAGUAACACGUGGGUGAUCUGCCCUGCACUUCGGGAUAAGCCUGGGAAACUGGGUCUAAUACCGGAUAGGACGAUGGUUUGGAUGCCAUUGUGGAAAGUUUUUUCGGUGUGGGAUGAGCUCGCGGCCUAUCAGCUUGUUGGUGGGGUAAUGGCCUACCAAGGCGUCGACGGGUAGCCGGCCUGAGAGGGUGUACGGCCACAUUGGGACUGAGAUACGGCCCAGACUCCUACGGGAGGCAGCAGUGGGGAAUAUUGCACAAUGGGGGCAAGCCUGAUGCAGCGACGCCGCGUGGGGGAUGACGGCGUUCGGGUUGUAAACUCCUUUCGCUAGUGACGAAGCGUUUUUGUGACGGUACCUGGAGAAGAAGCACCGGCUAACUACGUG